CCUACGGGGUGCUGCAGUGGGGAAUAUUGGACAAUGGGCGAAAGCCUGAUCCAGCCAUGCCGCGUGUGUGAAGAAGGCCUUCGGGUUGUAAAGCACUUUCAGUGGGGAAGAAAGCCUUGGGGCUAAUACCCUCGAGGAAGGACAUCACCCACAGAAGAAGCACCGGCUAACUCCGUGCCAGCAGCCGCGGUGAAUACGGAGGGUGCGAGCGUUAAUCGGAAUUACUGGGCGUAAAGCGCGCGUAGGCGGUCUGAUAAGCCGGUUGUGAAAGCCCCGGGCUCAACCUGGGAACGGCAUCCGGAACUGUCAGGCUAGAGUGCAGGAGAGGAAGGUAGAAUUCCCGGUGUAGCGGUGAAAUGCGUAGAGAUCGGGAGGAAUACCAGUGGCGAAGGCGGCCUUCUGGACUGACACUGACGCUGAGGUGCGAAAGCGUGGGUAGCAAACAGGAUUAGAUACCCGGGUAGUC
rnacentral:rRNA from 1 species